GAAAUGCGAUAAGUAGUGUGAAUUGCAGAAUUCAGUGAAUCAUCGAAUCUUUGAACGCACAUUGCACCCCUUGGUAUUCCAUGGGGCAUGCCUGUUCGAGCGUCAUCUACACCCUCAAGCUCUGCUUGGUGUUGGGCGUCUUUGUCCCGCCUCCGCGCGCGGACUCGCCCCAAAUUCAUUGGCAGCGGUCCUUGCCUCCUCUCGCGCAGCACAUUGCGCUUCUCGAGGUGUUGCGGCCCGCGUCCAGAAAGCAAUCGUUACCGUCUUUGACCUCGGAUCAGGUAGGGAUACCCGCUGAACUUAAGC
rnacentral:misc_RNA from 1 species